GGGCGCGUAGCUCAUCUGGAUAGAGCAUCGGCCUCCGGAGCCGGGGGUAGUGGGUUCAAAUCCCGCCGCGCUCACAA
rnacentral:tRNA from 1 species